rnacentral:rRNA from 1 species
CCCUUAGAUGUCCUGGGCCGCACGCGCGUUACACUGAUGCAUUCAACGAGCUUAUAACCUUGGCCGAGAGGCCUGGGCAAUCUUGUUAACGUGCAUCGUGAUAAGGAUAGAUUAUUGAAAUUAUUAAUCUUGAACGAGGAAUUCCUAGUAAACGCAGAUCAUCAAUCUGCAUUGAUUACGUCCCUGCCCUUUGUACACACCGCCCGUCGCACCUACCGAUUGGAUGGUCCGGUGAAGCCUCGGGAUUGUGGUUCUUGCCGCUUUAUUGUGGCGUGACCGCGAGAACUUGUCUAAACCUUAUCAUCUAGAGGAAGGUGAAGUCGUAACA